rnacentral:lncRNA from 10 species
CAGGAAUGUACAUGGUUAGAACAGAGCUCUGAGGGAGCCAACAGCCAGGCUUGACCCAGGCCCUAGCAUUUUAGCCACCUGACUCGUUGUAGUAAUGCUGUGGAGAGACCCACGUGACAAGGAACCGAAAUCUCUGGCCAACAGCCAGCGAGGAACACAAGCCAGCUAGCAAACACUGGGGGAGCUUGGAAGUGGGUUCUCCGGGCCCAACAACAGACAGCUAAUAUAAGAAGAAAAGCAAGACAUGAAGUGGAGGAGAACAAAGACAGUCUGAAACCCUUAAGGAUAAGCUGGAACCAAAGGACAGACUGGAACUUGCAUGGGUCUUACGCUCCUUCUAAGCCUUCAUCUUUGAUGAUGCAUGAUCUGCAGGAGAAACUGGGACCUUUCAUCACAAAGCUAAACAAGCACAUGACUCAGUUGCUGGAGAGGCUGAAGGAAGAUUCAGCAGGAGCUAGAGUGGCUACAGGCCUGGCUGCCACACUGUGCCAUCAAGCUUGGCUUAGAAAAUCCAGCAGAUAACUCUGAGGAGAGCAUGGAGCCCGAUGGAAGGAGUCUAGACCUGCAUAUCCAUCUGAGAUGGAAACCCCUUCCAGCCUGCACUGUUUUGUGAUAUGACUGAGAAAUAAAUCUAUAUUGUGUUAAGCCACCAAG